rnacentral:rRNA from 1 species
CGCGUAGGCGGUUUGCUAAGUCAGAUGUGAAAGCCCAUGGCUCAACCAUGGACGUGCAUUUGAAACUGGCAGACUUGAGUAUUGGAGGGGGUGGUGGAAUUCCCGGUGUAGAGGUGAAAUUCGUAGAUAUCGGGAGGAAUACCGGUGGCGAAGGCGACCACCUGGCCAAAUACUGACGCUGAGGUGCGAAAGCGUGGGGAGCAAACAG